ensembl:antisense Sp3os trans-acting transcription factor 3, opposite strand
GGGAGGGCGAGGGGAGGAGAAAGCGGCGCGCGGGGAGCCCGGCCGCGCUCAGCCGCUCCUCACCUGGGCCGCCGCCGCCGCCGCGCCGUUUCCGUGCUGCUGCUGUUGCUGCUGCUGCUGCUGUAGAUACUCGCCGUGGCCGCCGCCGCCUCCGCCGCCGUCCACGUCCAAGGUAUGCCUGCUGCUCAUGGAGGGAAGAAGUGAGCUUGUAAUCCCUUUGGAGCUAGAGUUACAGAUGGCUAUGAGUUGCCACAGGGAUCCUGGAGAUUUGACCGAGGUGCAUGCCCACGUGGAGCCAGAAGACCACUCACAGGUUGAUCCUCUUGUUCCACGAUGUGAGUUGCAGAUAUCAAACUCAGGUGGCCAGGCC